rnacentral:rRNA from 1 species
AUUGAACGCUGGCGGCAUGCCUUACACAUGCAAGUCGAACGGCAGCACGGGAGCAAUCCUGGUGGCGAGUGGCGAACGGGUGAGUAAAGUAUCGGAACGUGCCCAGUCGUGGGGGAUAACGUAGCGAAGGUUACGGUAAUAACGCAUACGAUCUAUGGAUGAAAGCGGGGGAUCGCAAGACCACGAGCGAUUGGAGAGGCCGAUAUCAGAUUAGGUAGUUGGUGGGGUAAAGGCUCACCAAGCCGACGAUCUGUAGCUGGUCUGAGAGGACGACCAGCCACACUGGGACUGAGACACGGCCCAGACUCCUACGGGAGGCAGCAGUGGGGAAUUUUGGACAAUGGGCGCAAGCCUGAUCCAGCCAUGCCGCGUGCAGGAUGAAGGCCUUCGGGUUGUAAACUGCUUUUGUACGGAACGAAAAGGUUUGACUUAAUACGUUGGACUCAUGACGGUACCGUAAGAAUAAGCACCGGCUAACUACGUGCCAGCCGCCGCAGUAA